CACUGCCCUUGCGGAUGUAAAAAGGAAGGUGGUUCAGGGCCAUUAUCAGAGGCUUCCUGGCAGGCCAAGGUCCUGACAUCAGCAUUAGCUGCUGAAACUCUGAAGGGAAUGGUGUGAGCCUGCUGUGCACUGCCCUGUCCAAGGGCUGGGUCUGUUAACUCCAGAACUGGCUUCCCCCAGGUCUGCACUCCCUCCACUGCAGGCCUGAGCUCUCCUUGCCCCUGGCUCUCUUCUGCAGAGAACCUACUCUCAGCUGCCACAGGAGGGCGCUGGAGAACGGGCCUGAGCAGAGAAGCAGGAGCUCCUCUGCAGGUCCUCCCAGGCACCACCCCUCCUGGGAGGAAGGCUUGGGAGUCCCCUAAGACAGAUCAUCAGUAGUUUCUUUCUGCCUGUGACUCAGGAAGACCAGCUCCCCCCACUGCCUUCUGUGCUAGGGAUCACUUCCUUGUUGAGUGGGACCUGAGUUUUCAGAGGGUGUUGUGCUCCUCUUCAUCUGGUCCCUUUCCUUCCAAGGCCCCAGAGAGGAAGGCAUGGGGUGGGCCCUAGCCCUGCUUCUAGCUUUCCUGCCUCCUGUCAGUCAGGUAUCUUCCAACUUAGAAGGGAGAACGAAGCUAGUCACCGGGCGGACUGGGUCAUCUGCUGUAAUCACUUGUGAUCUUCCUGUAGAAAAUGCCAGAUACAUCCACUGGUACUUCCACCAGGAAGGCAAGGCCCCACAGCGUCUUCUGUACUAUGACACCCAGCAGUCCAAGAUUGUGUUGGAUUCAGGAAUCAGUCCAGGAAAGAAGGAUAAUUAUCUAAUCCAGAAGGGGAGCUGGAAAUUGGUACUGCCAAAUCUAAUGGAAAAUGAUUCUGGGGUCUAUUACUGUGCCGCCUGGGACUGGCACAGUGGUUCAGACCUGCCCUACACCACACUGAAAACCUGCCUUGUGGCUGCUUCUGCUACACAAGACAGAGCUGCCCCCUCUCAUUUCCUGCCACCGAAUUUACUGUAUUCUGUACAAGGAGAAACACAGCUUCACUCCCGAUCUCCGCCUAAUAUCACACUCCCCUGGCAGCAGCUGCACCUGUUCCCCACCCCUCCCCCAGGGCUCUCCUGAAGACCAAGCUGCCACCUCC